AUUGAACGCUGGCGGAAUGCUUUACACAUGCAAGUCGAACGGCAGCACGGACUUCGGUCUGGUGGCGAGUGGCGAACGGGUGAGUAAUAUAUCGGAACGUGCCCAGUCGUGGGGGAUAACGUAGUGAAAAUUACGCUAAUACCGCAUACGAUCUAAGGAUGAAAGCGGGGGAUCGCAAGACCUCGCGCGAUUGGAGCGGCCGAUAUCAGAUUAGGUAGUUGGUAGGGUAAAGGCCUACCAAGCCAACGAUCUGUAGCUGGUCUGAGAGGACGACCAGCCACACUGGAACUGAGACACGGUCCAGACUCCUACGGGAGGCAGCAGUGGGGAAUUUUGGACAAUGGGCGCAAGCCUGAUCCAGCCAUUCCGCGUGCAGGAUGAAGGCCCUCGGGUUGUAAACUGCUUUUGUACAGAACGAAAAGGUUUCUACUAAUACUAGGAGCUCAUGACGGUACUGUAAGAAUAAGCACCGGCUAACUACGUGCCAGCCGCCGCGGUAA
rnacentral:rRNA from 1 species